rnacentral:rRNA from 1 species
GUGCCAGCCGCCGCGGUAAUACGUAGGGUGCGAGCGUUGUCCGGAAUUACUGGGCGUAAAGAGCUCGUAGGUGGUUUGUCGCGUUGUUCGUGAAAWCUCACGGCUUAACUGUGAGCGUGCGGGCGAWACGGGCAGACUAGAGUACUGCAGGGGAGACUGGAAUYCCUGGUGUAGCGGUGGAAUGCGCAGAUAUCAGGAGGAACACCGGUGGCGAAGGCGGGUCUCUGGGCAGUWACUGACGCUGAGGAGCGAAAGCGUGGGGAGCGAACAGGAUUAGAUACCCUGGUAGUCCACGCCGUAAACGGUGGGUACUAGGUGUGGGUUUC